ensembl:Y_RNA Y_RNA Y RNA
GGCUGAUCCAAGUGCAGUGGUGUUUACAACUAAUUGAUCACAACCAAUUACAGAUUUCUUUGUUUCUUCUCCUCUCCCACUGCUUCACUUGACCAGCCUUUU